rnacentral:rRNA from 1 species
AUUGAACGCUGGCGGCAGGCUUAACGACAUGCAAGUCGAGCGGAGACUUCGGUCUUAGCGGCGAACGGGUGAGUAAUACCUAGGAAUCUGCCUAUUAUGGGGGAUACGAAUCGAAAGGUUCGCUAAUACCGCAUACGUCCUACGGGANAAAGGGGGGAUCUUCGGACCUCUCGCUAAUAGAUGAGCCUAGGCCGGAUUAGCUAGUUGGUAGGGUAAAGGCCUACCAAGGCGACGAUCUGUAGCUGGUCUGAGAGGAUGGCCAGCCACACUGGAACUGAGACACGGUCCAGACUCCUACGGGAGGCAGCAGUGGGGAAUAUUGGACAAUGGGGGCAACCCUGAUCCAGCCAUGCCGCGUGUGUGAAGAAGGCCUUCGGGUUGUAAAGCACUUUAAGCGAGGAGGAAGGUUUUAGUUUAAUACACUAAAGAAUUGACGUUACUCGCAGAAUAAGCACCGGCUAACUCUGUG